GCUGAACUUAAGCAUAUCAAUAAGCGGAGGAAAAGAAACCAACAGGGAUUGCCUUAGUAACGGCGAGUGAAGCGGCAAAAGCUCAGAUUUGAAAUCUGGUGCCAUAAAGGCAUCUGAGUUGUAAUCUGUAGAGGAGUAUUCGAGUAUGGCUUUGGCUUAAGUUCCUUGGAACAGGGCGUCAAAGAGGGUGAGAACCCCGUUUGCAGCCUUUGUCUUAUGCUUAUGUGAAUCUCCUUCAACGAGUCGAGUUGUUUGGGAAUGCAGCUCUAAAUUGGUGGUAAAUUCCAUCUAAAGCUAAAUACUGGCAAGAGACCGAUAGCGCACAAGUAGAGUGAUCGAAAGAUGAAAAGAUCUCUGAACAGAGAGUUAAAUAGUACGUGAAAUUGUUGAAAGGGAAGCACUUGCUACCAGACACACUUGCAAUUAAUCAGCCUCCAUUUUUGGUGGUGCACUUGGUUGUAGGUGGGUCAGCAUCAGUUAUAGCGGUAGGAAAAAGACUGUGGGAAUGUGGCUUCUUUCGGGAAGUGUUAUAGCCCAAAGUGUAAUGCUGCCUGCUGUGACUGAGGACCGCGCUUCGGUGAGGAUGCUGGCAUAAUGGUUGUAAGUGACCCGUCUUGAAACACGGACCAAGGAGUCUAACAUCUAUGCGAGUGUUUGGGUGUAAAAACCCUUGCGCGGAAUGAAAGUAAAUGGAGGUGGGAACCGUAAGGUGCACCAUCGACCGAUCCUGAUGUUUUCGGAUGGAUUUGAGUAGGAGCAUAGCUGUUGGGACCCGAAAGAUGGUGAACUAUGCCUGAAUAGGGUGAAGCCAGAGGAAACUCUGGUGGAGGCUCGCAGCGGUUCUGACGUGCAAAUCGAUCGUCAAAUUUGGGUAUAGGGGCGAAAGACUUAAUUCGA
rnacentral:rRNA from 1 species